rnacentral:rRNA from 1 species
GGCAUAAUCCUGGGAAACUGGGUAUAAUUCCAGAUAGGUCACAGAUGCUGGAAUGCACUGUGGCCGAAAGCUCCGGCGCCCAAGGAUGGGUCUGCGGCCUAUCAGGGUUGUAGUGGGUGUAACGGACCUACUAGCCUACGACGGGUACGGGUUGUGAGAGCAAGAGCCCGGAGAUGGAUUCUGAGACACGAAUCCAGGCCCUACGGGGUGCAGCAGGCGCGAAAACUUUACAAUGCGGGAAACCGUGAUAAGGGAAUCUCGAGUGCCAGCAUAUAAUGUUGGCUGUCCAGAUGCCUAAAAAGCAUCUGUUAGCAAGGGCCGGGCAAGACCGGUGCCAGCCGCCGCGGUAACACCGGCGGCCCGAGUGGUAACCGCUUUUAUUGGGUCUAAAGGGUCUGUAGCCGGCCAAGUAAGUCCCUUGGGAAAUCUGGCAGCUUAACUGUCAGGCUGCUAGGGGAUACUGCUAGGCUUGGGACCGGGAGAGGUGAGAGGUACCUUGGGGGUAGGGGUGAAAUCUUGUGAUCCUCGGGGGACCACCAGUGGCGAAGGCGUCUCACCAGAACGGGUCCGACGGUAAGGGACGAAAGCUAGGGGCACGAACCGGAUUAGAUACCCGGGUAGUCCUAGCCGUAAACGAUGCUCGCUAGGUGUCAGUCACGGUGCGACCGUGAUUGGUGCCGUAGGGAAGCCGUGAAGCGAGCCACCUGGGAAG